rnacentral:sRNA from 1 species
GCACAUCUUAACACCCUAACAAUUCUUCCGCCCCGCGCUCCCCCAGAGCACAACCUCUGAUAUUUCUUCUGCUCUGAUCCCCUUGCCUAUAAGAACCCCCUCAUACAACCCCUUCUUCUGAUCUUCUUUCUCUUUCUUUCCUUAAUCAAUUUGUAAACUGUUAUCAGAAUAGUGUCAAGUCUGUUGAUAUUGCCGUUGGAAUGGAUCGUAUGAACUGCGCAGGUGGUAUGAAUGGUUUAAUCUGCAACAUUGGUAACAUCUGCUUAAUUGGUGGCACAUCUGUUACAUUAUGAAUCAAUUCAUCUGUGUUUAAGGCCUGAGUGCCUAGUUAUUAGUUCCUACGCCUGAGUGUGUUGAUUACAUUUAAGGCCCGAGUGCCUCAUUACCAGUUCCUACACCCGAGUGCAUUGAUUACAUUAAAAAAAAAGGCCUGAGUGCCUAGUUGUUAUAUAAAUUCCUUGUUGAGUCCGAGUGCCCUCAUCAUUAGAUACAUAGACUGUUGAGCCUAAGCAUCUGUGACACAAUCAACUGUCUCAUGAAGAGGCCCAAGUGCCUACAAACUGUAAUGCUGUGAAUAGUGUUCACAAAGAAGCUUGAUAAGCUUAGUGCUGCAAUGCUGUGAAUAGUGUUCGCGAGGGCCUGAGUGCCUAUGAAUAUCCCAUCCCCUAGAAUCACAUGUCUUUAGAUACUGAAAUGAGUUACCAACAAAUCUAUAAGCACCCGCCGCAUUUGAAUGCAGCGGACAAUAAUCUAGAUCUACAAAGCAUCCUCCAGCAGCAAGCACUGCAGAUGGCUGAGCUACAACAACAGCUUGCUGAGAUGAGCAUGUCUAUGUUCACUGUUCCCCCUACACCCGCAUCUCACAAGAAGCCCCUGAGAGAGAAGCUCCCAAUCCUCAACAAGUACACAGA